UUAUUGAAAUUUAAACUUUAGCACAAAAUCAGAGUAAAAGAAUGCUAUUAGUCUUAUUUUAUUGGUUCCUUCUUGAUGAGAAGCAAAUGUAGAAGCCACAGAAACAGUUUCAUUCUUGGUCUACACCAUUGAGAGAUCAACAAAAUCUUAAGCAACUUGGAGUCAACAAGCCUACAGCUCUUGCUUUUAUGCUCUUUGCUUUCAUGUGAAUAUAGCACUAACGCAGAAGAUUAACCUCAAGUCGAACAGUGGACCUGUCAAGGUGAAUGGUGAUGUCUCAAUUCAUCCAAGUGAAAUAGAGCUAG